rnacentral:rRNA from 1 species
UACAGAGGUCUCAAGCGUUUGUUCGGAUUCAUUGGGCGUAAAGGGUGUGUAGGUGGCGCCGUAAGUCGGGUGUGAAAUUUCGGAGCUUAACUCCGAAACUGCAUUCGAUACUGCGGUGCUUGAGGACUGGAGAGGAGACUGGAAUUCAUGGUGUAGCAGUGAAAUGCGUAGAGAUCAUGAGGAAGACCAGUGGCGAAAGGCGGGUCUCUGGACAGUUCCUGACGCUGAGGCGCGAAGGCCAGGGGGAGCAAACGGGG